rnacentral:rRNA from 1 species
GACGAACGCUGGCGGCGUGCUUAACACAUGCAAGUCGAACGGAAAGGCCCUGCUUUUGUGGGGUGCCCGAGUGGCGAACGGGUGAGUAACACGUGAGUAACCUGCCCUUGACUUUGGGAUAACCUCAGGAAACUGGGGCUAAUACCGGAUAGGAGCUCCUGCUGCAUGGUGGGGGUUGGAAAGUUUCGGCGGUUGGGGAUGGACGCGCGGCUUAUCAGCUUGUGGGUGGGGUAGUGGCUUACCAAGGCUUUGGCGGAUAGCCGGCCUGGGAGGGUGACCGGGCACAUUGGGACUGCGGUACGGCCCAGACUCCUACGGGAGGCAGCGGUGGGGAAUAUUGCACAAUGGGCGGGAGCCUGAUGCAGCGACGCCGCGUUCGGGAUGACGGCCAUCGGGUUGGAAACCGCUUUCGGCUGUGACGAAGCGUGAGUGACGGUACUGGGAAAAGAAGCACCGGCUAACUACGUG